rnacentral:lncRNA from 1 species
UAGCCUGUUGAUACAAUAUGACAACGUAAUCAGUAUUCUUGAUAAUUUUACUCUCUCAGUUAUUAUGUAACUCAGAUAACUUUUUGUUUAACUUCACUGACAAAGAAACGAAACAGAAUUAGCAAAGAAUGUAAAGAUUUUUUUAUUUGAGAGAUAGGUAGCAUGCUACUCGCGUCGUUUAUUUUGUUUAGAAAUAAACUUAGCUAGAAAUGUGAAUCAACUAAAAUUCACAUUUGGAACCUCGGGUAUCAAUCACUAAGCCUUUUGCCACUUGCUAGGGACAAUCGGUAAAAUAUAAAGAAAAUUGAAAGAAAAGUUUGUAGGAAUGUA